AGGUUGAACAGCCACAUUGGGACUGAGACACGGCCCAAACUCCUACGGGAGGCAGCAGUAGGGAAUUUUCGGCAAUGGAGGAAACUCUGACCGAGCAACGCCGCGUGAACGACGAAGUACUUUGGUAUGUAAAGUUCUUUUAUCAAGGAAGAAAAGCAAGUGGUGAACCAUUUGUUUGCCGGUACUUGAUGAAUAAGCCCCGGCUAAUUAUGUGCCAGCAGCCGCGGUAAGACAUAAGGGGCAAGUGUUAUCCGGAAUUAUUGGGCGUAAAGGGUGCGUAGGCGGUCUAGUAAGUCAGUGGUGUAAUGGCAACGCUCAACGUUGUCCGGCUAUUGAAACUGCUAAACUUGAGUUAGAUAGAGGCGAGUGGAAUUCCAUGUGUAGCGGUAAAAUGCGUAAAUAUAUGGAGGAACACCAGAGGCGUAGGCGGCUCGCUGGGUCUUAACUGACGCUGAGGCACGAAAGCGUGGGGAGCAAACAGGNNUAGAUACCCUGGUAGUCCACGCCGUAAACGAUGAGUACUAAGUGUCGGGUUAAACCGGNACUGAAGUUAACACAUUAAGUACUCCGCCUGAGUAGUACGUACGCAAGUAUGAAACUUAAAGGAAUUGACNGGACUCCNCACAAGCGGNGGAUCAUGUUGUUUAAUUCGAA
rnacentral:rRNA from 1 species